rnacentral:lncRNA from 1 species
UUUCUUUUAAGAUCUAGAGGAAGAAGAAGAAGAAGCAAGCAAGCAAUGGCAGCCAUGGGAUCAGGACCAGAUCACCUCUUCAACCUCCGAAACACCUUUUUUUUUUAAACAAUAUAUAUACAAAAGUAAAAAUAUUUAAUAAAAAAUUUAAAAUUGAAAUUAUGAAAAUAUUAAAAUAUAUCUAUUAUAUUUUAAUUAAUAUUAUAAAAAUUUAUAAUAAAAACAAUUUCAAUAAAUUUUCAAAAUUUAAAAUUAUAAAUUUUUAAAUAUAAAUUUUAUAUUUAUUAUAAUUUUAUGAUUUUUGAUAUUUUUAUAAUUAUAUUAAAUGUAAAUAUUGUUAAUUUAUUAUUUGAUUGUUAUCGUAUUUUGUAGUUAACCGGUCAUAAGUCACCCGCAAACGCACCAAUUUUUUACCGCAGUACCAGUCGUACAAAUCUCUUAAAAUCGCUAGAAACCGCAACCGCCCGCAUCCACAAACUCCCGCAACCACAACCGCAACCGCUGCGUUUGAACCAGUCAGGCCCUAAAAAGGACAUCAACAUUCAGCAUCACUUUGAAAAACUCAUGCGACGUAUGUAUUUAUAGUUCGAUUAUUUAAAACAAGUAAAUUAUAUAAUAAAAUUAGUAUUUAUGUUAUUGAAUAUUUUCAUUUUGAGUUUCUUAAACCGAUGAAAAUGCUCUUAUCAAACCAGUCUCAAACUUAAACCACUAAAAAUUGACUUGUUACUUUAUACGAAAAAAUGUUUAAGCCAGUGGCGGAGCACUUGCUUUGUGAGGGUGGUCAGUGACCCACAUGGAUUUUCAUAAAAACAAGUUUUAUUUGUAUUUUGAAAAGAAAACAACUGAUAAAUGUUACUAAUUUAACACAUUGACCCAUAUAACAUAUGUUUGUUAUGUAAUGACUGACCCCCUGUGAAUUGAUUAGCUGGCUCAGCCACUGGUUUAAGCUACUGAUCGACAAAAGAUAGACGGUCCGAAGCUGAUCAUAUCACUAAACUAUAGGCCCACGAGUUAUAAAAGAAACUGAACCGUUAUUUUACCCACAUGGGACCCAAAUCAAAACUAGGGUGUUGAUUGUACUAUUUAAAACAAAUAGGCUUUUAUUUAUAAGAUUUAUAAUUUAAGGGGGUUAAAAUGUUAUUAACCCGUUUACUUAAGUUUGUUUUAAUUUUCUCCCAUUCUCUGUUUCUUUUGAGAUCUACAGGAAGAAGAAGAAGGAGCAAGCAAGCAAUGGCAGGGAUGGGAUCAGGACCAGAUCACCUCUUCAACCUCCGAAACACCUUUUAUCUGGGAGCUUACCAAACGGCGAUCAACAACAGCGAGAUCCCUAACCUCUCCCCGGAGGACGCCGUGGAACGCGACUGUCUCGUCUUCCGCUCGUACAUAGCCCUCGGUAGCUAUCAG